UUAUUAUUAACUCGAAAAUUAGAGUCUUCUGUACUUUCUUGAAGUAUCUUUUUAAAGAUCUCGAAUUAUUAAGAAUCUCUACAGUUUCCACAAAUAUUACCCUCCCUGUAGAACCCACUCGAUCCCCUUCUGUAUCCCCUAACUUCCAUACAUAUUCUCAAAUAUUCUGCAACGUAUUUUGUGGCAUCUAUGCUAUUCCCAUUGUCACCUCUUGUGGUGCACCAACACCUCUCACCUGUCGCUCAGUCUCUCUGGCAGUGGCAAAUAUGUUGUCGAGCCAAAGGUAAAAAGAGGUAAAUAAAGUUCCUUUGCAACACUGACAGCUGUCAAAAUAGGAACGAGAAAAAAACGAAUGAAUGAAUGUCACAAAGAAGAGCAAAGAGAAGGGGUGGAUGGUAUGGGAGGACUUGACAGUGGGGCUUCAAUUAACGCACACACACUCACGCAGUACAGUAGCUUAUAUUAAACGCAUAUGACACGUUUGUGCCCUAACUCCACUCUACAGAGAGCAUAUACCCCCAAUGGACAAAUGACAGAGCCUUCCAUUAGCGUCAUUUUUGGUGUUUGGGCCCCCCCCCCCCCCUUUCUGCUCGAUGUGUGCAGCAUUUUGGCAAACAAUUUGCUAAAAAACGUUUUUCUAAAAGCAAUAAGUAUGUGGGGAGGGGGCAAAGAGAGGCACACACACGUUGCAAGUGCAGAAACAUUUGACAACUGAGUGGCAAGUCAUGCUGCCUGCUUCUUCAUCUCCAUCUGUGGCUGCAUUUAGCUGUCAAAAGCGAAAGCCGAGCAACAAAAGCAGAGCAAAGAACAAGAAAGAAGGGAUUUCUUUCGGGCAGUCGCAGCUUUGAUACCCUCUAAGAUUCCUCAGAUCUAUAUACGGUGGAAAAAGGAAAAUGGUAUCAUACAGAAAGAACAGAGCACAGAAGGCUGCAUUAACCUCCUUCCCGCUGGCACAUCUUUGCACCCACAUGACACCAUCCCCCCCCCAGCCCUCUGCCAAGACCCCACCCACGACACCUCGUGAGUGACAGGUCGAGUGAAAAAAUGCUUGCUUCGUGCCAAAAUACUCCUGGGAUCGUGCACAGCACAGGAUCGUGUGGGAUAGGAGUACAGGGACGGAGUAGACGGCUCGUAAAAUGCAUGAAAAUUCAUAUGCCACAAGAAAUAUAUAUUAUUAUGGGAAACAAUC